rnacentral:rRNA from 1 species
GACGAACGCUGGCGGCGUGCCUAAUACAUGCAAGUCGAACGAACCGCGACUGAGUGCUUGCACUUGGUCAAGGUGAGUGGCGAACGGGUGAGUAACACGUGGGUAACCUACCUCAUAGUGGGGGAUAACAGUCGGAAACGACUGCUAAUACCGCAUAGGACAUAGGAUCACAUGAUCCAGUGAGGAAAGGUGGCGCAAGCUAUCGCUAAGAGAUGGACCCGCGGUGCAUUAGCUAGUUGGUAGGGUAAAGGCCUACCAAGGCGAUGAUGCAUAGCCGACCUGAGAGGGUGAUCGGCCACAUUGGGACUGAGACACGGCCCAAACUCCUACGGGAGGCAGCAGUAGGGAAUCUUCCGCAAUGGACGCAAGUCUGACGGAGCAACGCCGCGUGAGUGAAGAAGGCCUUCGGAUCGUAAAGCUCUGUUGUUAGAGAAGAACAGCGCAUAGAGUAACUGCUAUGCGUGUGACGGUAUCUAACCAGAAAGCCACGGCUAACUACGUG